rnacentral:rRNA from 1 species
CCUACGGGAGGCAGCAGUGGGGAAUAUUGGACAAUGGGCGAAAGCCUGAUCCAGCCAUGCCGCGUGUGUGAAGAAGGCCUUCGGGUUGUAAAGCACUUUCAGUGGGGAAGAAAGCCUUGGGGCUAAUACCCUCGAGGAAGGACAUCACCCACAGAAGAAGCACCGGCUAACUCCGUGCCAGCAGCCGCGGUAAUACGGAGGGUGCGAGCGUUAAUCGGAAUUACUGGGCGUAAAGCGCGCGUAGGCGGUCUGAUAAGCCGGUUGUGAAAGCCCUGGGCUCAACCUGGGAACGGCAUCCGGAACUGUCAGGCUAGAGUGCAGGAGAGGAAGGUAGAAUUCCCGGUGUAGCGGUGAAAUGCGUAGAGAUCGGGAGGAAUACCAGUGGCGAAGGCGGCCUUCUGGACUGACACUGACGCUGAGGUGCGAAAGCGUGGGUAGCAAACAGGAUUAGAUACCGAGUAGUC